AAUACGAAGGGACCUAGCGUAGUUCGGAAUUACUGGGCUUAAAGAGCUCGUAGGUGGUUAAAAAAGUUGAUGGUGAAAUCCCAAGGCUUAACCUUGGAACUGCCAUCAAAACUUUUUAGCUAGAGUGUGAUAGAGGUAAGUGGAAUUUCUAGUGUAGAGGUGAAAUUCGUAGAUAUUAGAAAGAACACCAAAUGCGAAGGCAACUUACUGGGUCACUACUGACACUGAGGAGCGAAAGCAUGGGUASCGAAGAGGAUUAGAUACCCUCGUAGUCCAUGCCGUAAACGAUGUGUGUUAGACGUUGGAAAUUUAUUUUCAGUGUCGCAGCGAAAGCGAUAAACACACCGCCUGGGGAGUACGACCGCAAGGUUAAAACUCAAAUGAAUUGACGGGGACCCGCACAAGUAGUGGAGCAUGUGGUUUAAUUCGAAGAUACGCGCAGAACCUUACCAACACUUGACAUGUUCGUCGCGACCUUAAGAGAUUAAGGUUUUCGGUUCGGCCGGACGAAACACAGGUGCUGCAUGGCUGUCGUCAGCUCGUGUCGUGAGAUGUUGGGUUAAGUCCCGCAACGAGCGCAACCCUCACUUUUAGUUGCCAUCAUUUAGUUGGGCACUCUGAAAGAACUGCCAGUGAUAAGCUGGAGGAAGGUGGGGAUGACGUCAAGUCCUCAUGGCCCUUACGUGUUGGGCUACACACGUGCUACAAUGGUAUCUACAAUAGGAAGCAAAAUGGCGACAUUGAGCAAAUCCUAAAAAGAUGCCUCAGUUCGGAUUGCACUCUGCAACUCGAGUGCAUGAAGCUGGAAUUACUAGUAAUCGUGGAUCAGCGCGCCGCGGUGAAUACGUUCCCGGGUCUUGUACACACCGCCCGUCACACCAUGGGAGUUGGUUCUACCUUAAGGCAGAGUUUAAAACCUCUGACCACGGUAUAGUCAGC
rnacentral:rRNA from 1 species